ensembl:lncRNA
GCCAGACUGAAUUAUCAGGAAGACUAGAAAAUGCCACUGGUCAGUCUUGGCAUUGGUGUAAGACCGAGAGGAAAGCUCCUUGAUUGGAUCUUGGCUCUGUUGUGCACGCCUUGCCCAUGUGUUACUGGACCAGAGCAGGCUGAGCUUCACAUUCCUCAUCUGUGAAACAGAGCAUGAGCCUUUUUUGAGAAAACUAAAUGAGAUGGUGAUAUUACUGUAGCCAAGGAAAUGUCUGGCACACGGAUCUCAUCAAGUAACUAAGCUGUGAAAGCUGGGCUUGAACAUAUGAUCCUCCUGCCUCAACCUGCCAGUCUUCUUGAACACCGUUUUUACUGGGAGCGCACAGACUUGACACUAUUUUAUGGCUGUCGUGGAUCCAAGAAGAAGACAUGAGCUUGGGAGCCCACUGCAUACACUGACCAUUCACUACCAUAGGCCAGACACACAUUCUCCCACCGAUGUGGGAUUUUGGUGGAGAGGAGCUUAGGCAAUGUGUUUUCAGCCUUCCCGAGAGACACUGCUCCCAAUACCUUGCUCUUGUUACUGAAGGCCAGAGCCUGGACCUUGCAGUUGUCAGCGUUUGUGUCCUCCUUGAGGAUGUGCUUUACAGCAUUGUGAGUGAUGUGAGCAUACACAGGGACCCGUGACACAUUGUGCCUCACAUCACUUUUGGUCAACACAUCAUCUGUCACCUCCUACAGUCCCGUAGAACCAUCACACAGCCAGACACUGCAUGUGAUGGAAAAGAUCCACUCCUUUGGGUCCAUCACCUCCCCCCGCCCCCAGGAUCCAGAGCAGGCAGUUGAUAGAUGGCAAGACUGCUGGGGUUGUCUCCUCCUGUGGCUAACAGUGUUCUAGAGGGAUUCAGCUCAAUAACACAGAUGCCACAGCCCUGCUGGGUCACAUCUCCAGGCUCUCAGUCCUUCAGAAUGGGGAUCUGGGUGAUCUGGCUUGUCUGGACGUCCACUACAAAUAGUGUGUUGCAUUUUGUUCCACACGCCACUUGCCUAUGAUUCAACCACUGCGAAGCAAACACUAUUAAGGGCCCCGAGUUGAAACUCUCUCUCCUUCAGAAGACUGGGAAGUUGCUGUGCUGCAUAACCAUGCAACAAUCGAGAACAGCUGGUUUCAUCCUGCAGCCUGACUUCCAGGUUCUUCAGGACCUAGGAAGAAGUGGAUUUUUGGGAGAGGCUGUGACACCAGGAAAGGGUUAUAACACGCCGGUGACGUGAUGAGCGGGCAAACCCCGGGAGACCCUUGCCAGGUGUGACUGAAUACGUGAAGAAAGUCGGGAGCAAAUGAAAGACCAGGCUUUGUGAAUUCAGUGAUACUUCCUGCACCAUAGACUCUGGAAUCUAAACCAGUUUCUCCCAUGUGGUUCAUGAAUUUCUGCAUAAAAGCUUUGAAAACAUUUCCCAAAAGUCCCCAGGAGCUUUCAUAACCACUAAUUGGCCUCUACUUUUUGGAAGUUUGGUGAUCUAGAAAGUUGGAAUGGAAACUGCCGUCCUGCUAUAAAACACCAAGGAUCCUGGGUAAAAUAGAACACUUUAAAAAUACUGUUGACCUUGCAAGACCUUGAAGAAAAUCCACAUGUUGCAAAAACAAAGAGGAAGGCAAAAUCCAGAGCAUGAAACCUACAAAUUCAGCCACAAACAGUAGCUGCCUUCAGGGAUACCAGGACCCUCCCCUGUGGGUUCUAACUCCCAAGCAAGGACCAGACCACUCAGAUACCUUGUGGACAUUUCGAAAAGGCACUCCACCCCAGUCCUUACCGGUUAAAAGGGGACUCUCAGGAAAGGGGGCCCUCCAUGCUUACUUGCCAGGGACUGUCCUCUCUGUGCUUGGAGUCUUUUCAUGACUAUUAAUAGCACUUGGUUCCCCUUCAGAAAUAUCUAGAUUAGAACGACAAAUUACAUUUCCCUCUGUUCAAAGGCUACUUAGUAAAAGGAUGGGCAAGGAAACAAAAAUAGCUUCCAGCAGCCACAGAGUCAAGGCAUGCCAUUUCCACUUUGUGUUGCACAGGGAUAAAAAAGAUUUUAAGUUAAUAAAAGCAUGCCCUCUAAAAGUUAAUAAAGAUGAGCCCUUCUUCCACAUGGGGUCAAAACACUGUAUGAGUAUCUGUCUGUAUAUAUUGUAUUUAAAAGCUGGAAAACUGAAGAGAGAAAAAUCACUCAUACUUUCUCAAUCCAAAUAAAACAC